rnacentral:ncRNA from 1 species
ACAUUGCGAACUGGUGGUGGGCACGCUAAAGGCGGCCUUGACCAGUCAUGUCCUGAAGACAGACGAAAAGCCGCCCGCAACCCGAGGCGGCUUUGUU